UGACUAUUCAGGAAGUACAGACUCUGUACUUUCCGUUGAUGGUAGUUUCAUAAAAAUCAAGUGAACAGAACUUGUGUUGUAGUUGCUUGUACAAGUACAUGUUUUGGCCAACACGCACAGUGUCUCCAGCAAAAAUGUUCUUCUGUCAAGUAAAGUGUUUUUUAAGACUAGUAACAAGCAGUACAUUAUAAAGGAAGCUCUCAGGUGAAGGUCUGCACAUGGUGGUGGAUGGUGCAACAUGACGAAAACUUGUUAAAUACAUCUCAGCGAAGCCAUUUGUAAUGUUUCGAUAUUAAUUUGUGAUGUCUGGUUCAAUUCAACGUACAUGUAUCAAGGUCUGAAUGAAUAACUGUACUUCACCUUCCUCUCACUGAGCACAUGCUUCUCCAGCAUAAUAAUAUUCGCAUUUGUCACAGGAGGAAAUUGCUAUCGGCACAACAUUGUGAACGUAGAGAUAUGUAAAUACCCAUGGACGAACAAAAUUACAAGAGUUAGAGCCAUUUUUCACUCAGCACAAUUACUUAGGCAGGAAAUUUCCUCCUCUGUAAUUACACACUGAUUGUCUUCAUAUCGAUAAACCUCCAGGAGAUGCACUUCUUCGUCUGAGCAGGAAUACCAACGAUAUUAAUAACAGAACGGCCUAUCUUGUUUCUGACAGGAGAUCCACACACCCAGCUGUUCUCUGAGAGGGCAGCAAGGUGCUCUUCAUUCAUUUAAAUGUUAUCGUUCACUUUUAGAAGUGUUUCUGUACUAUAUUAUCUCUGCGUGUACGUAUAAAUGAUUAAUUUUUGUCUAACUUCGAUCCUGAUUAUAGCGUUGCAAAGAAUUUUGUCCUUUACCUUUUGCUUUCAAAAGAGUAGUAUAACACUUUUUCUUUCACUUUCUGCAAGGUACACUUCAAGGAAAACGCUUAUUCAGUGAUUAUAUGGUUGUAAAAAUAUCCUUGUAGCAGUAAUCAUUGAAGUGUAGUGUAGUUUCCAGGUGCGCAUUCGUAGCCAAAUGGCUGUUGCUAUGCGCAUUUGGUGUCAUUCAGUAGAUGACAAGGUGCACAUGACUGUCAAUAAGCUCUCAUGUGACUUAGAUGAAUAACUAAGCAGUUACCAUGGGUAUAAGCAUUGCAUGAAUCAGGAAAUAACAUUACUUCGAAAACCACACCCACAUUUCAAUAUUUCAUUGAAUUCUAAUUACAAACUAAGUGGUAGCCUUGAAACAGGGUUGUUAUAAAACAGGGAAUGAGAAAUGAGGAAAUGAGAAAUGAGGAAAUGAGGAAAUGAGGAAAUAAGAAAUAGGAAAUGAGGAAAUGAAGAAAUGAGAACGAGAAAUGAGCUGUUAGGCAGAGCAUAUCUAUGGGCAGAGCAAGUCUGAAGACGAAGCUAACAUCUACUGAGCUACAGGUACGUACCUCCUGGUGACAAGUCUCCUGGUGCUCUGCCACCAUACAGAACUUAUGUUCCUCUGGUACACGGUGUGACACUCUCUACCUCUAUCUACUUGUGUGCCAUGUACGACUGGCAUGGUUCAGACAUCAGAUCUACCUACGUAAUGGUACUUACAUGUACUGUCCUACAAACAAUUUACCUAUGCGUGGCUAUACUGGCAAUACAUUCAAUGAUUUCACAAUCCGGUGGGCAAGUGAUAGUCAAUGGACUGGACUCAAUGUCAACAUCUACAUGGUGAAGAAAGCAAUUCCCAUUACCAUUCUCACAAGCAAUGCCUAGUGAAAGCUGAUGCUACCUUUAAUGAAGAAAGCUCACUGUGCCAUCUGAAGCGAUGGUAAAAUUUAAUUCUUACAAUGUGUCCGACAACCUGUACUGUGUGGAGGUGCCACUAUAAUUUUAUAUAUUUGAUAACUAAAUACUUAGUCACCUACUAGCUUCUUGGCUGAUAUCAGUCAUUACUUUUGUGCAUCUAUAUAAUAUAAUUAUUAUUAUAACAAUGUCAUAAUUAUUGUGAUGAAAAUUAAUGCCAUGGUGAUGAUCGUAACCAUAAAUAUAUUAUUAUUAUUCUAUUUCUUAUUUCUUCAUUUCCUCAUUUCCUAUUUCUUAUUUCCUCAUUUCUUAUUUCUCAUUUCCUCAUUUCUCAUUCCCUGU